AUUGAACGCUGGCGGCAUGCCUUACACAUGCAAGUCGAACGGUAACGGGCCUUCGGGUGCCGACGAGUGGCGCACGGGUGAGUAAUACAUCGGAACGUGCCCGAUCGUGGGGGAUAACGAGGCGAAAGCUUUGCUAAUACCGCAUACGAUCUACGGAUGAAAGCAGGGGACCGCAAGGCCUUGCGCGGACGGAGCGGCCGAUGGCAGAUUAGGUAGUUGGUGGGAUAAAAGCUUACCAAGCCGACGAUCUGUAGCUGGUCUGAGAGGAUGAUCAGCCACACUGGGACUGAGACACGGCCCAGACUCCUACGGGAGGCAGCAGUGGGGAAUUUUGGACAAUGGGCGCAAGCCUGAUCCAGCCAUGCCGCGUGCAGGAUGAAGGCCUUCGGGUUGUAAACUGCUUUUGUACGGAACGAAAAGCCUUCUUUUAAUACAGGAGGGUCAUGACGGUACCGUAAGAAUAGGCACCGGCUAACUACGUG
rnacentral:rRNA from 1 species